rnacentral:rRNA from 1 species
UACGUAGGUGGCAAGCGUUGUCCGGAAUUAUUGGGCGUAAAGCGCGCGCAGGCGGUCCUUUAAGUCUGAUGUGAAAGCCCACGGCUCAACCGUGGAGGGUCAUUGGAAACUGGGGGACUUGAGUGCAGGAGAGAAGAGUGGAAUUCCACGUGUAGCGGUGAAAUGCGUAGAGAUGUGGAGGAACACCAGUGGCGAAGGCGGCUCUCUGGUCUGUAACUGACGCUGAGGCGCGAAAGCAUGGGGAGCGAACGGG